rnacentral:rRNA from 1 species
UACGUAGGGGGCUAGCGUUGUCCGGAAUCAUUGGGCGUAAAGAGCGUGUAGGCGGUCAACUAAGUCAGACGUGAAAUCCCUCGGCUUAACCGGGGAACUGCGUCUGAUACUGGAUGGCUUGAAUCCGGGAGAGGGAUGCGGAAUUCCAGGUGUAGCGGUGAAAUGCGUAGAUAUCUGGAGGAACACCGGUGGCGAAGGCGGCAUCCUGGACCGACAUUGACGCUGAGGAGCGAAAGCCAGGGGAGCAAACGGG